GGCCCCGCCUCGUGUCCCCCCCCGGACCCCACGCCGCGGGAGCUUGGGGGUUGCGGUCUUCUCUUCCUCCGACCUCACCUUCGAUGCGGAAGCGCAGGGGCAGACCACUGGAUGGUGAAGAAUUCCCAUGAACCCCUGGUUCACACUGUAAGGACACACUACUCAGCAUGGGCAACAUUUACAGACUACUGGAUGGUGAAGAAUUCCCAUGAACCCCUGGUUCACACUGUAAGGACAGACUACUCAGCAUGGGCAACAUUUACAGACCACUGGAUGAUGAAGAAUUCCCAUGAACUCCUGGUUCCAACUGUAAGGACACACUACUCAGCUGUAGCCUGAAGCCGCCUCCUUACAUACUGUAAGUUUAGCCUAUAGGUUUCUCCAUACGUAGUGAACAGUCAUCUAAUUGGAUGUGUGGACACUGUAACCUACUCUUGAAUCAGUCACAGGCAGCAGCACUUCAAACUCUGUUUCAAUAAGCCAGACACGAGCUGUAGCCACCCUGCUGUUUGCAGGCCUCACCUCUGCCUUCUGUGCCUCACUCCCUUUUCUGUCCGUAAGUCUUUGGCCACACAGUGGCACUGGAGUCUCUCUGAGCCUAUUCUGGUUUGAGGGGUUCCCUGAUUCCUGAAUCAUUCUUUGCUCAAUUAAACUCUGU
rnacentral:lncRNA from 10 species